rnacentral:rRNA from 1 species
GACGAACCGUGCGAACGUUGUUCGGAUUCACUGGGCUUAAAGGGCGCGUAGGCGGCUUGCCAAGUCAGGGGUGAAAUCUUUCGGCUCAACCGGAAAAGUGCCUUUGAUACUGGCGAGCUAGAGGGAGGUAGGGGUGCGUGGAACUUCUGGUGGAGCGGUGAAAUGCGUAGAUAUCAGAAGGAACGCUGGUGGCGAAAGCGACGCACUGGAUCUCUACUGACGCUGAGGCGCGAAAGCUAGGGGAGCAAACGGG